GCCGGUGUAGCUCAGCCUGGUAGAGCGUUUGACUCAUAAUCAAAAGGUCGAGGGUUCAUAUCCCUCCACCGGCA
rnacentral:tRNA from 1 species